UUUGUAUUUUUAAAAUAUUUAUAUAAGAUAUUCAUGUAAGAAAAUUUGAAUUAAACUAAUAUUUAUAAUUUUAACUUAAAAUUCUUAUGCAACAAUAGUGAGAAUUAUAAUUUAUAAUUAAUUUCUUUUUUAUUUGAAUUAGAGGUAUUUACUAUCUUGUGAAUUAUAAUAGCUGAGAGUGUUGAGUUAGAUUUGUGGGUUUAAGAUCUUCGAAAUCGAAAGGAUAGGGUAGAAUAGAAAUUGAAUUGAAGAUAUGGGUUCUCGAGGAGCCAACAUGUUGAUUUCUAGGGCAAACAGAAUGAAAACGAAGCUGCAAUCUGCUUUGGAAGCUACCACUAUAGAAAUCGAGGACGUUUCGCAUCAGCACGCUGGCCACGCUGCCGUCAAAACCAAUAAUGUUGAGACCCAUUUCAAUUUGAAGAUUGUCUCGCCCAAAUUCAAUGGUCACACCCUCCUUAAGCGCCACCGCAUGGUCUAUGAUGCACUUGCGGAUGAGCUUCAAUCUGGAUUGCAUGCUCUCUCCAUUGUGGCCAAGACUCCCCAGGAGGAAGAAGCUGCUUCUCGCAGAUAACCACUCAUUGCAGCUAUUGUUCGGAUCAGAGGUUGUCAAUGAUGAUAUGUUUGGAUAGCAGAACUGAAGAAAGUUUGCACUAUCAAUAUAAGCAGGCCAGUUUUCCUGUAAUGGGAUAAAUAAGGGUCUCCUUUCAUUCUUAAGAUUUUUGUUUGUGUUAUUGGCGAGGAUCAUUGAACCGAAAAGAAGUCUCUAUGGUUGGUGAAGGAUUUGGUCCAUAGAUACCUUCUGCAUGAACACAUGCAUGGCAUAUUUGCAUUCAUCAACCCAGCUAUUUGUAGACCAUGUUGUUUCAACUUUA